CACAUGGGUACAAUGUGUUAAGACCAUUUCUUGUGUCCUCCGUUGUGAUAUUGCUGGAAUAUUGCUGAAAGCGUCGUGAAACUAAACUCACUCUUACCGGAAAGAUCAAGCUGACGGAUUAUCUCCCCUUUGUGUGAAACGAUGUCCUCCCUGAAGUAUUCCGAUCAACCGGCAUCACUUGUAUCAGAUUGACCUAUCUCCUGUUCUAAUGUGCAGUGUUAAACAAGCCGGGUGAUCAUUUAUCAAUUACCAGGCCUCAUAGGGGCUGCAUAUAUCACGUAUAAACCGUUGGUGCAGCCGAGACUAUAGAAUCAGAUAUUUAUAGACUAAUUGCAAUUAUUUUUCCACCGUGCAGUGAAUUCAAGGAGGCGGUGUAAGUGAAUUUAGGCUGGCAGUAUGUAACGGGACUCGAGAGUCAUAACAAAUGGUCAUGAAGUAACACAUGUGACCUGGGACAACAUGAAACCUCACGCCCCUUGAAGAGCUAGGACGAACGUCGGUUUGAAAGAGGUUGGGAUAGAGAACGGCAGGUUGAAAGAGGUGGCGACAAAUAUUGCUCAGCGGAUGAGUAUUCUUCCUCAGUGUGUCCGGUACAAUUUCAUUGUCCAGGUUAUUGGUAAUAUAUAACUUGAACAAUAGGUACACAGAUGUAUUACUGACUCUGUAACAUAUUGACAUGCCUAUGGGUAUAUAAUUCCUAGAAAAGGUCAUCGCAUUGUCAUUGUCUUCUUAUAAUAAAGGAACAGUGAAAUGGCGACAAA